rnacentral:lncRNA from 1 species
AUUAAAAAAAAAAAAAACCUCUCAAGGGAACAUGUGUUGCCUGGUAAACCAUCCAUUAUCUACCGACGAGGUUAAAUAACAUAUUCAACGUAUCCUAGACGUGGCAUGAACUACCCCCAUCGUGUACUUCAAACAAACCCAGCCACCUUCUCUUCUUGGCACCAUAUAACCUGCACAGAGGCAACCAAAAGGAUCAUCACAAGCCAAAAAAACACACAAAACAACAAAGGCAGCCAUUAGCAUUACCAGAAACGCUAUGCUCAAUCUCGCAAAAGCCUUCUUCCCCCAGCCCCCUUCUCUCUUCCCCAUUUCCUCGCCUAAAGUCUCACGGGUCUGCUUCACUACCUCUGCCUCCAAAUAUAACGAGGUA